UACGUAGGGGGCAAGCGUUGUCCGGAAUCAUUGGGCGUAAAGAGCGUGUAGGCGGCUCGAUAAGUCUGCUGUGAAAGUCCAGGCUCAACCCUGGAAGGCCGGUGGAAACUGUCGGGCUAGAGUCCGGAAGAGGCGAGUGGAAUUCCCGGUGUAGCGGUGAAAUGCGCAGAUAUCGGGAGGAACACCAGUGGCGAAGGCGGUUACCUGGAGCUUUGCUGACGCUGAGACGCGAAAGCGUGGGAGCGAACGAGGA
rnacentral:rRNA from 1 species